UACGUAGGGAGCAAGCGUUGUCCGGAAUCAUUGGGCGUAAAGCGCGCGUAGGUGGCCCCGUAAGUCCGCUGUGAAAGUCAAAGGCUCAACCUUUGAAAGCCGGUGGAUACUGUGGGACUAGAGUACGGAAGAGGCGAGUGGAAUUCCUGGUGUAGCGGUGGAAUGCGCAGAUAUCAGGAGGAACACCAAUAGCGAAGGCAGCUCGCUGGGACGUUACUGACACUGAGGCGCGAAAGCGUGGGGAGCGAUCCGG
rnacentral:rRNA from 1 species